CGCUCUGUAGCCCAAUCGGUAGAGGCCCUGGUCUUAGGAACCAGACAGUGAGAGUUCGAAUCUCUCCAGAGCGA
rnacentral:tRNA from 1 species